rnacentral:rRNA from 1 species
UACAGAGGGGGCAAGCGUUGUUCGGAAUUACUGGGCGUAAAGGGCGCGUAGGCGGCCUUCUAAGUCGAACGUGAAAUCCCCGGGCUCAACCCGGGAACUGCGUCCGAGACUGGAAGGCUUGAAUCCGGGAGAGGGAUGUGGAAUUCCAGGUGUAGCGGUGAAAUGCGUAGAUAUCGGAAGGAACAUCAGUGGCGAAGGCGGCUUGCUGGGCCAGUUCUGACGCUGAGGAGCGAAAGCGUGGGGAGCGAACAGG